GAUGAACGCUGGCGGCGUGCCUAAUACAUGCAAGUCGAGCGAACAGACGCGGAGCUUGUUCCUCUGACGUUAGCGGAGGACGGGAGAGUAACACGUGGAAAACCUCCCUAUCAGACUGGGAUCACUACGGGAAACCGGCGCUAAUCCCGGAUAAUAUACUGAACCGCAUGGUUCGAUAGUGAAAGUCGGCUUUGCUGUCACUUCUAGAUGGAUACGCGCCGCUUUAGCUAGUUGGUAAGGUAAAGGGUUAUCAAGGCUACGAUGCGUAAGCGACGUGUGAGAGUGGUCGGCCACACGGGAGCGGGAACACGGACCAUGCUCCUGCGAGAGGCAGCAGUAGGGAAUCGGCCGCAGUAGGCGGAAGCCUGGCGGAGCGGCGCCGCGUGAGUUGUAAAGAUCUUCGGAUCGUGAAGCUCUGUUAUUAGGGAAGAACAAAUGUGGAAUUAGCUAUGCACGUCUUGACGGUACCUAAUCAAAAAGCCACGGCUAACUACGUG
rnacentral:rRNA from 1 species